UUAGGUGCUCUGUACCAACUAUUGCCGACGGCUAUUCCAGCUCCGCUUCAAUCGCAUACUUUGAAACUGUUAGUUUUACUUGUAACCAUGGCUUUUCAAUCCACGGACCUGCAACAUCAAAGUGCAAUGCCUCUAAUGGAAAGCUGACCUCUGUACCAGCGUGUUUAGUUGCACCGUUAGUGAAGCGUUGUCAAGGUCUCAAAGUGCAGGUCUUCCCGCAGUACACUGGUGACUUUAUCAGCGGCCUUGAUGACGUGCAUACAGUCUGUAGGGGCGCAUCCCUUUUCAACACCAUGGACAUGACCCAGUCCUCCAGCUGCGUCUACUCUCUAUUGGAAAAUGUAACAAUGCGCACAAAUAUACCAACCUACUGGACCUCGAAUUCAGACAAAGUUCUGCAGUUCAGCUCACAGGACAACGGUGUCAGGGAUGGUGUCACCGGUGUUGCCGUCAUCAAUCGCACCGGCACUAAUCAUCUAAUCGCGUGCUUUGAGGAGUAUGAUGCUUGCACUGAGGGUACUCAUGACUGUGGAGUCAAUCAAUGUAUAACAACUGCGGGCUCCUACAGCUGCAGGUGUAACAAUAGCCCAAA